CUGGGAUUCUCCAGGCAAGAACACUGGAGUGGGUUGCCGUUUCCUUCUCCAAAUCUAAAGCCCAAAUCUUGUCACUGAAAUAUACCACUGUGGCUGUUAAAACUUGUUUUUUCCAAGCCUGUCAAUUAAAAAAAAAUAACCAAAAAAAAACUCUGAGUUGAAAUGAAUGUCUUGUCCCCAGUAAAUUAGCUACUUACUAUUCCCUGACCUAUUUUUCCUACCACAGUCUCAUUUGAUUAUUCCAAGCAGGCAAGUCUAUUUUCCUCCUUUGGCAAGCAGACGAGGAAGGUGUGGUGGAAGUUAUAUAUUAAGAAAAAAAUACGUGGAGCAAAACGCCCCGUCCUAUCUCCCGAAGUCACCUGAUGCUUAACGAGAGAACCAGGACCUUGAAGACGAGGUCAGGCAGAAGAGGGCACCAGUCUCCCAGGGAGAAGCCAGGACUCGUCAGUAACGGGGUUGUGACCAAUCUGAACCAACUGCCAGGUCGCAAGAUUUGGAAGGCUAAAGUGGAAGACAUCAUUCAUCCAGAUUUAAUUAACUCACAAAGAACUUAUAGAACAUUGAAGACAAGGGGAUAGAUUCAAGAUACAUGGACAGGUAUAUGAUCGCAUGAGGAGUAACACGAAGAACAGGAAAAUAUUACGCAUGUCUCGUUCUCAAUAUACAUGUGUACACAGUAUUAUUGUCUCUGAUCUGCACAGAGAUUUCUUUAGAAAUAUGUAUUAUUUCUAGUAUCCAUUUGCCUGCUGCUGCUGCUGCUGCUAAGUCGCUUCAGUCGUGUCCGACUCUGUGCGACCCCAUAGAUGGCAGCCCACUAGGCUCCUCUGUCCCUGGGAUUCUCUAGGCAAGAACACUGGAGUGGGUUACCAUUUCCUUCUCCAAAGCGUGAAAAUGAAAAAUGAAAGUGAAGUCGCUCAGUUAUGACCGACUCUUAGCAACCCCAUGGACUGCAGCCUACCAGGCUCCUCCGUCCAUGGAAUUUUCCAGGCAAGAGUACUGGAGUGGGGUGCCAUUGCCUUCUCCGAU
rnacentral:lncRNA from 1 species